rnacentral:rRNA from 1 species
GACGAACGCUGGCGGCGUGCUUAACACAUGCAAGUCGAACGGAAAGGCCCUGCUUUUGUGGGGUGCUCGAGUGGCGAACGGGUGAGUAACACGUGAGUAACCUGCCCUUGACUUUGGGAUAACUUCAGGAAACUGGGGCUAAUACCGGAUAGGAGCUCCUGCUGCAUGGGGGGGGUUGGAAAGUUUCGGCGGUUGGGGAUGGACUCGCGGCUUAUCAGCUUGUUGGUGGGGUAGUGGCUUACCAAGGCUUUGACGGGUAGCCGGCCUGAGAGGGUGACCGGCCACAUUGGGACUGAGAUACGGAGCAGACUCCUACGGGAGGCAGCAGUGGGGAAUAUUGCACAAUGGGCGGAAGCCUGAUGCAGCAACGCCGCGUGCGGGAUGACGGCCUUCGGGUUGUAAACCGCUUUCGCCUGUGACGAAGCGUGAGUGACGGUAAUGGGUAAAGAAGCACCGGCUAACUACGUG